rfam:Trichosporon oleaginosus strain IBC0246 unplaced genomic scaffold CC85scaffold_1, whole genome shotgun sequence.
GGGCGUGUAGCUCAGUUGGUAGAGCGUUCCAUUCGCAUGGCGUCUUUGACAUCAAGCAUGACUUGGAAAGGUCUUUGGUUCGAUUCCUAACUCGUCCA